ACUAUUACAUUGUAAUAUAUAGUGAAAUAAUUAUACAACUCACCACAAUGCAGAAUCAGUGGGAGCCCUGAGCUGGUUUUACUGCAACUAGAUGGUCCCAUCUGGGGGUGAUGGGAGACAGUGGCACCCAAAGUGUGUUGCUUAUGUCCAGUCUACUCCAUAAUCUCGUUUUGGUUGCUAUCACUGCAGAAAACCCUGCUUCACAAAGAUAGAAUGUUGGAAAUGGAAGCAGGCUUCUCAGUGCUUCAGUCUCAGCCA